GAGGUUCGACUAAGCCAUGCGAGUCGAAUGUAGCAAUACAUGGCGUACUGCUCAGUAACACGUGGACAACCUACCCCUAGGACGGGGAUAAACCCGGGAAACUGGGUAUAAUACCCGAUAGAUCUCGGCUGCUGGAAUGCAUCGAGAUCUAAAGCUCCGGCGCCUAAGGAUGGGUCUGCGGCCUAUCAGGUAGUAGUGGGUGUAGUGUACCUACUAGCCUACGACGGGUACGGGUUGUGAGAGCAAGAGCCCGGAGAUGGAUUCUGAGACACGAAUCCAGGCCCUACGGGGUGCAGCAGGCGCGAAAACUUUACAAUGCUGGCAACAGCGAUAAGGGGACCUCGAGUGCCAGGUUACAAAUCUGGCUGUCGUGAUGCCUAAAAAGCAUUGCAUAGCAAGGGCCGGGCAAGACCGGUGCCAGCCGCCGCGGUAACACCGGCGGCUCGAGUGGUAACCGUUAUUAUUGGGUCUAAAGGGUCUGUAGCCGGCCGGAUAAGUCUCUUGGGAAAUCUGGCAGCUUAACUGUCAGGCUUUCAGGAGAUACUGUCUGGCUCGAGGCCGGGAGAGGUGAGAGGUACUUCAGGGGUAGGGGUGAAAUCUUGUAAUCCUUGAAGGACCACCAGUGGCGAAGGCGUCUCACCAGAACGGACCUGACGGCAAGGGACGAAAGCUAGGGGCACGAACCGGAUUAGAUACCCGGGUAGUCCUAGCCGUAAACGAUACUCGCUAGGUGUCGGCCACGGUGCGACCGUUGUCGGUGCCGUAGGGAAGCCGUGAAGCGAGCCACCUGGGAAGUACGGCCGCAGGCUGAA
rnacentral:rRNA from 1 species